rnacentral:rRNA from 1 species
AGUGAACGCUGGCGGUAGGCCUAACACAUGCAAGUCGAACGGCAGCACAGUAAGAGCUUGCUCUUACGGGUGGCGAGUGGCGGACGGGUGAGGAAUACAUCGGAAUCUACUUUUUCGUGGGGGAUAACGUAGGGAAACUUACGCUAAUACCGCAUACGACCUACGGGUGAAAGCAGGGGAUCUUCGGACCUUGCGCGAUUGAAUGAGCCGAUGUCGGAUUAGCUAGUUGGCGGGGUAAAGGCCCACCAAGGCGACGAUCCGUAGCUGGUCUGAGAGGAUGAUCAGCCACACUGGAGCUGAGACACGGUCCAGACUCCUACGGGAGGCAGCAGUGGGGAAUAUUGGACAGUGGGCGCAAGCCUGCUCCAGCCAUACCGCGUGGGUGAAGAAGGCCUUCGGGUUGUAAAGCCCUUUUGUUGGGAAAGAAAAGCAGCAGGUUAAUACCCCGCUGUUCUGACGGUACCCAAAGAAUAAGCACCGGCUAACUUCGU